UUCACUGAUGCCCCACUGUGUAUAUUUGGCAUUCAGUUUUUGUUUGUCUGCUGCUGCCUUGUCUUUGACUCUGGAGCUGAUAAAAACCAUUUAUUUUUGCAGUGCUGCGCGGCAUUAAUGUCAUAUAUGUGUAAAAUCUCAUCCUUGCCAUUGCAAUUUUCUAGUUUUCCCAUUGUGAUCUAAAGAUUGUCCAGUUGCUAAACACAUCCACUUUGGGUCCAUCUGUUCAGGAAUCUGACUUGCAGGAGCCAACUCGCUGCUGACACCAUGUUUCGUAUUCAAGGAUGAAAAGAGAGAGAGAGGGUUCAUUAUCUUAAACACACCACUGAGAAUGUGCAACUACGAACACGGGGCUCAGGCGGGGAAAAUUGAUAUUAUUCUAAAGAUGGAAGAGAAAGCAU